CACGGGGGGAGCAAGCGUUGUUCGGAAUCACUGGGCGUAAAGGGCGUGUAGGCGGUCAAGUAAGUGGGAUGUGAAAUCCCUCGGCUCACCCGAGGACCGGCAUCUCAUACUGCUUGGCUUGAGUACGGGAGAGGAUGUGGGAAUUCCUGGUGUAGCGGUGAAAUGCGUAGAUAUCUGGAGGAAUACCGGUGGCGAAGGCGGCAUCCUGGACCGGCAUUGACGCUGAUGAGCGAAAGCUAGGGGAGCAAACGGG
rnacentral:rRNA from 1 species